rnacentral:rRNA from 1 species
CAGUAGCCGCGGUAAUACGAAGGUCCCGAGCGUUGUUCGGAAUCACUGGGCGUAAAGGGAGCGUAGGCGGCGUGGUAAGUCAGAUGUGAAAUCCCGGGGCUCAACCCCGGAACUGCAUCCGAUACUGCCAUGCUAGAGGAUUGGAGAGGCAGCUGGAAUUCUUGGUGUAGCAGUGAAACGCGUGGAGAUCAAGAGGAACACUCGUGGCGAAAGCGAGCUACUGGACAAUAACUGACGCUGAGGCUCGAAGGCCAGGGUAGCGAAAGGGAUUAGAUACCCCCGUAGUCCCUGUCUCUUAUAC